rnacentral:rRNA from 1 species
GAUGAACGCUAGCGGCAGGCCUAACACAUGCAAGUCGAGGGGCAGCACAUAAAGUGGUUUACUACUUUUGGUGGCGACCGGCGGACGGGUGCGUAACGCGUAUGCAACCUGCCUCCAACAGGGGGAUAACGGAGAGAAAUUUCCACUAAUACCCCAUAAUAUCAGAAUCGGCAUCGGUUUUGGUUGAAAACUCCGGUGGUUGGAGAUGGGCAUGCGUUGUAUUAGAUAGUUGGUGAGGUAACGGCUCACCAAGUCAACGAUACAUAGGGGGACUGAGAGCGUCGCCCCCCACACUGGUACUGGGACACGGACCAGACUCCUACGGGAGGAAGCAGUGCGGAAUAUUGGUCAAUGGGGGCAACCCUGAACCAGCCAUGCCGCGUGCGGGAAGACGGCUCUAUGAGUUGUAAACUGCUUUCACAAGGGGAUAAAUCGGUGUACGUGUACACCGUUGAAGGUACCUUGGGAAUAAGGAUCGGCUAACUCCGUGCCAGCCGCCGCGGUAA